GUCUGAUCCUAAGCCCAGGGAAGUCAAUGGGAAUCUUUCCAUUGACUUCCAUGGGCUUUGGAUCAGGC
rnacentral:pre_miRNA from 1 species